rnacentral:rRNA from 1 species
UACGUAGGGCGCAAGCGUUGUCCGGAAUUAUUGGGCGUAAAGAGCUCGUAGGCGGUUUGUCGCGUCUGCUGUGAAAACUCGGGGCUUAACCCCGGGCCUGCAGUGGGUACGGGCAGACUAGAGUGCGGUAGGGGAGACUGGAAUUCCUGGUGUAGCGGUGAAAUGCGCAGAUAUCAGGAGGAACACCGGUGGCGAAGGCGGGUCUCUGGGCCGUAACUGACGCUGAGGAGCGAAAGCGUGGGGAGCGAAAAGG